AUCAGUCGAGUGAGCAUCUCCGACACGGCAACAACUGCGGUGCACUAGUCGUCACCAACUGCAUUCUUCUUUAUAUUAUAAUCAGUUCGCAAUCAUGGUCGCAUAAAAGGAGAGAAAAGGCGUAUAGAAAUUGGUUGAGUGGUUAUCUCCGACGUGGCAACAACAACUGCAGUGCAAUUUUUCGCAAACUGCGUUCUUCGUCACAUUACUAGUUUUAAAUCAUGGUAAACUAUGGCGUCGUGCUGCUGUUGGGUGUUGUAUCGUUGAUGGCUGGGUCGGCCACUGGUGUACCGAUGUCUCCUGGGUAUGGCGGAGCAACGCCGCCGCCUUACUACACGACAACAACUUUCGCAAAGACCAGUUACAACACCACUAAGGCUCCAGAGUAUUACACCACAACUUAUGAUGCCCCGAGCUACUACACCGAAACCCCGAAGUAUAACUCUGCCCCGAGCUACAUCACCAAAGAGCCGGAGUACUACACCAAUAAUACACGACUACUUAUGCUGCCCUUGCCUACUACACCAAGUCCCCUAAUUACAACAACACCGCUUGCCCCGCGAAGCGCCCAAGUACUACACUACAACCUACGCUGCCCCGAGCUACUACACCGACUCCCUGAAGUAUUACUCUGCGUAAAAGGAGUCAUCUAAAGAAAAGAAGUCGUAUAUAAGGAGAGAGAAAAGGCGAUCGAAAUCAGUCGAGUGAGUAUCUCCGACACUUCAACAUCUGCAGUGUGUUCAGCAUCUGUCACCAACUGCAUUCCUCAUCGUGUAGCCAAAUCGCAAUUAUGGUGUCGUGCUGCUGAUGGGUGUUGUAUCGUUGAUGGCUGGGUCGACCACUGGUGUACCUGGUGUACCGAUGGUAUUAUCUCCUUGGUAUGGCGGAUACCAAACCGCAACGCCGCCGCCUUACUACACGACAACAACUUACGCCAAGACCAGUUACUACACCGAAGUACUACAUCACUAAGGCACUGGAGUAUUAUACCACAUCUUACGCUGCCCCGAGCUACUACACCAUCAAGGUACCGGAGUACUACACAAAAACGAACGUCUCAUCCUACUACACCGAGGUCUAAGUACUACUCCGUUUCCAGCUACUACACAGAGGCAUAAGUACUACUCCGUUUCCAGCUACUACACAGAGGCCUAAGUACUACUCCGUUUCCAGCUACUACACAGAGGCCUAAGUACUACUCCGUUUCCAGUUACUACACCGAAGCCUAAGUACUACUCCGUUUCCAGCUACUACACCGAGGCUUCAGCUUAUUACUCCACCAAAACGGUCGAAUACUACACCGAAGCGCCAAAGUACUACUCUGCCCCGAUCUACACAACCUCAACUGAGGCGGCCAAGUAUUACGCAAUCCCGACUUACUACACAGAAGCUGCUCCUUCGUACUAAGUUGAACAGGAAUACCAUACUGAUGCUCCAGUUUGCUACACCACAACCUACGCUAGACCUAGCUACGACACCUAAGCACUCAAGUACUACACCGAAGAAGCCGCAUAUUUCACAACCACGUACGCUGCAAUAGUUUACUACAUCGAGGAACCCUAGUAUUACUCUGCUCUAAGCUGCUACCAAACUAUGGAUCAUAAGUACUACACUAGCAAGGCUUCCGAGUAUUACACCACUACUUACGCUCCUCCGACCGAUAUACCGAAGUUCCUAAGCAUUCCUCUGCCCUGAGUUACUACACUACUAAGGCACCUGAAGAUUACACCAUAACCUACGCUUCUCCAGCUGACAACAAGGAGACUUCUAAAUACUAGAGCUGAAUUUGAAUUUUGUUAUUUGUGUUCAGAUUUGUCGGUUAUUUUUUAAUAGUUACUACUUACUAGUCAUCGGGAUUUGAUUGUUGAUUAAUGAGAAAAUAUAUUUUAAUGCGGGUAAACAACUUUUAAAGCAUCUCCUAAUUUUUAAACCUUUCGACAUUUCCACAGAUGUUCGUAUUUUGGUUGAUUUCAAAUUUUGAAAGUGACUGCUGCUCUAGUCGAUCUUCAUAGGACAUAUCCUGGUGCUUGGACGGAAUUCUUUUUUAGGGUUCUGAAGGAGUUCAUGGCAGACGUUGUGUUUGGCUCUUUCACAGGAAUUUUUGAAAGAAGGGAGAUAGAAAAAGAUUUAUUUAUGUCUUUAAGUAAUAGCCAAGUGACUGAUCAUUUAUGCAUGGAUGAAACACUAAGUUUAAGAAAUAAACUGUUUAUUUGCUAAA